rnacentral:rRNA from 1 species
GAACUGAAGAGUUUGAUCAUGGCUCAGAUUGAACGCUGGCGGCAGGCCUAACACAUGCAAGUCGAGCGGUAGAGAGAAGCUUGCUUCUCUUGAGAGCGGCGGACGGGUGAGUAAUGCCUAGGAAUCUGCCUGGUAGUGGGGGAUAACGUUCGGAAACGGACGCUAAUACCGCAUACGUCCUACGGGAG